GACAAUGCUCAAAGAAAUUAUGCUACUACUGAAAAAGAAUUCUUAGCAGUUGUAUUUUCCUGUGAUAAGCUUAGACCUUAUAUUGUUGAUUCUAAAGUAACUAUUCACACUGAUCAUGUUGCUAUUAAAUAUUUUAUGGAAAAGAAAGAUGCUAAACCUAGACUUAUUAGAUGGGUUCUCUUGCUACAAGAAUUUGAUUUACACAUUGUUGAUAGAAAAGGAGCUGAGAACCCCGUUGCAGACAACUUGUCUAGGUUAGAAAAUAUGCUUGAUGACCCACUACCUAUUGAUGAUAGCUUUCCUGAUGAGCAACUAAAUGUCAUAAAUACUUCUCAUACUGCUCCAUGGUAUGCUGAUUAUGCUAAUUACAUUGUUGCUAAGUUUAUACCACCUAGUUUCACAUACCAGCAAAAGAAAAAGUUCUUUUAUGAUUUGAGGCAUUACUUUUGGGAUGACCCACAUCUUUAUAAAGAAGGAGUAGAUUGUGUUAUUAGGCGUUGUGUACCUGAGCAUGAACAAGAACAGGUCCUAUGCAAGUGUCACUCCGAAGCUUAUGGAGGACACCAUGCUGGAGAUAGAACUGCACAUAAGGUACUGCAAUCUGGUUUUUAUUGGCCUAGUCUCUUCAAGGAUGCCCGUAAGUUUGUCUUAUCUUGUGAUGAAUGUCAAAGAAUUGGUAAUAUUAGUAGACGUCAAGAAAUGCCUAUGAAUUAUUCACUUGUUAUUGAACCAUUUGAUGUUUGGGGCUUU
rnacentral:rRNA from 1 species